ACUCAAAUGAAUUGACGGGGGCCCGCACAAGCAGCGGAGCGUGUGGUUUAAUUCGACGCAACGCGAAGAACCUUACCAGGGCUUGACAUCUACCUGAAGACGUCGGAAACGGCGUUGCCUUUCGGGGCAGGUGGACAGAUGCUGCAUGGCUGUCGUCAGCUCGUGCCGUGAGGUGUUGGGUUAAGUCCCGCAACGAGCGCAACCCUCGUCGCUAGUUGAAUAUCUAGCGAGACUGCCGAGACAAACUCGGAGGAAGGUGGGGAUGACGUCAAGUCAGCACGGCUCUUACGUCCUGGGCUACACACACGCUACAAUGGUCGGUACAGAGGGCUGCGAUAGGGCGACCUGGAGCGAAUCCCAUCAAAGCCGGCCUCAGUUCAGAUUGGAGUCUGAAACCCGACUCCAUGAAGGCGGAGUUGCUAGUAACCGCAGGUCAGCACACUGCGGUGAAUACGUUCCCGGGCCUUGUACACACCGCCCGU
rnacentral:rRNA from 1 species